UGCCAGCAGCCGCGGUAAUACGGAGGGUGCAAGCGUUACUCGGAAUCACUGGGCGUAAAGAGCGUGUAGGCGGAUAGAUAAGUUUGAAGUGAAAUCCUAUGGCUCAACCAUAGAACUGCUUUGAAAACUGUCUAUCUAGAAUAUGGGAGAGGUAGAUGGAAUUUCUGGUGUAGGGGUAAAAUCCGUAGAGAUCAGAAGGAAUACCGAUUGCGAAGGCGAUCUACUGGAACAUUAUUGACGCUGAGACGCGAAAGCGUGGGGAGCAAACAGGAUUAGAAACCCCCGUAGUCC
rnacentral:rRNA from 1 species